UGCGUAGGCGGUGCGGAAAGUUGGGUGUGAAAUCCCUCGGCUCAACCGAGGAAUGGCGCUCAAAACUACCGUGCUCGAGUGAGACAGAGGUGAGUGGAACUUAGGGUGGAGCGGUGAAAUGCGUUGAUAUCCUAAGGAACACCAGUGGCGAAAGCGACUCACUGGGUCUUUUCUGACGCUGAGGCACGAAAGCUAGGGGAGCAAACGGGAUUAGAUACCCCGGUAGUCCUAGCUGUAAACGAUGAGCACUGGGUUGGAGGGUCCUCCAUAACCUUCCGGCCGUAGCGAAAGUGUUUAGUGCUCCGCCUGGGGAGUAUGGUCGCAAGGCUGAA
rnacentral:rRNA from 1 species